UACGAAGGGGGCUAGCGUUGUUCGGAUUUACUGGGCGUAAAGCGCGUGUAGGCGGACUGGAAAGUUGGGGGUGAAAUCCCGAGGCUCAACCUCGGAACUGCCUCCAAAACUUCCAGUCUGGACUCAAGUAGAGGCAAGUGGAAUUGCGAGUGUAGAGGUGAAAUUCGUAGAUAUUCGCAGGAACACCAGUGGCGAAGGCGACUUGCUGGACUUGUAGUGACGCUGAGACGCGAAAGCGUGGGGAGCAAACAGG
rnacentral:rRNA from 1 species